ensembl:lncRNA
GCAAGACUGUUUUGCUCUGACAGACUGGGAUGUGUUUAAAGCUGCAGCCACUUUGGAGGACUCUUCUGUCAGCAUGCAGGAUUAUGCUGAGUAUGUGAGUGGGUACAUUAGCACUUGUGUUGAUAACAUCAUACCCACCAUACAAGUCAGGAAGUUCCCCAAUCAGAAGCCCUGGAUAAACAGUCAGGUACGCCACAUGCUGCAUGCUCGAUCUCUUGCAUUUACAUCAGGCAACGAGACAGGAUGCUAAUGCCAAGCUUGCUUUGAAUGAACUUCAUGCAGCCAUUAGUAAACAACAGACUGCUCACCCGGAGGCUGCUUUUAUUGUCGCGGGUGAUUUUAAUCACUGCAAAUUAAAGACGGUGCUCCCCAAAUUUCACCAGCAUGUUUCCUGCCACACCAGAGAAGACAAAACUUUGGAUCAUGUUUACACAAACAUUGAUGGAGCUUACAUCGCGACCCCCCUCCCUCACCUCAGACAGUCUGAUCACCUUUCUUUGUUUCUCACCCCCAAGUAUUCACCCCUCAUCAACCGUGUGAAGUCAUCAGUGAGAACCAUCAAAGUGUGGCCAACUGGAGCAGACUCUUUACUUCAGGACAGGUUUCAACACACUGACUGGAGUAUGUUUGCUUCUCAGGCUGCCUGUGGCUCUCACACGGACAUUGAUAUCUAUACCUCCUCUGUACUGAAUCACAUCAACACCACCAUUGACAGUGUUACAACAGAAAAACAGAUAACAACAUACCCUAAUCAGAAGCCAUGGAUGAACAAGGAUGUGCGAAUUCUGCUGAAAGCCCGCAACACUGCCUUCAGGUCAGAUGACGCUCAGGCCUACAGUAAAUCCAGGGCUAACCUGAAAAGGGGCAUCAAAAAGGCCAAGUACUGCUACAAGCUGAAGGUAGAGGAACACUUUUCCAACUCUGACCCCCGACGCAUGUGGCAGGGCAUCCAGGCCAUCAGUGACUACAAGUCAAGUAACUCCACUCCAACGGUCACGGACGUCUCCUUCCUUAACGAGCUAAAUGACUUUUAUGCUCGCUUCAACAGCGACAGCAAGGAGACUGCCACCAAAAUCAGGCAGANNNNNNNNNNNNNNNNNNNNNNNNNNNNNNNNNNNNNNNNNNNNNNNNNNNNN